UUACGACGAAGUUACCAGGCCCGCGUUUUUUCAUUCACGACGAAGUUACCAGGCCUGCGUUUUUCGAUUUACGACGAAAUUACGUCGAAACGUCAGUUUACGACGAAUUUACUAGGCCCUUGUUUACGACGAAGUUACCAGGCCCGCUUUUUUCCAUUUACGACGAAGUUACCAGGCCCGCGUUUUUCGAUUUACGACGAAAUUACGUCGAAACGUUGGUUUACGACGAAUUUACCAGGCCCUUGUUUACGACGAAGUUACCAGGCCCGCGUUUUUCCAUUUACGACGAAAUUACGUGGAAUAGAUACAUUUACGACGAUUUUACAACGGUUAACCCUAAACACCGAGAAUGAAAUCCCUAAACCCCAAAGUCACAU
rnacentral:lncRNA from 1 species